UUAUAUUUAAUUUCCAAAGAUGGAUCCUUUCACCUGAGUCUUACACACUGCAGCUUUAAAUGGUCUGUGAGCAACUCUCAUAUCUACUGUAAAGAGAGAGAGGAGGAGCCUGAGAACAGGGAAGUGUCAGACUCCAUUUUCACUGGGAUGAGCAGAAGGAAGAAAAGUGAGCAGACUGAAGAUGAGUGGUUAUGAGGAGGAAGAGAGGAGGACAGAGCAGAGUCUCCAGUGUCCAGCUGUGUGUCUCUGAAGAGUGACUGGUCCAUGGGUCAUCCUCGAAACUUCAGUAAUGAACCUGGACCCUCACACACAAAAGGUCAGGACCACAGACUGAGAGCAGAGUCUCCAGGGUCCAGCUGUGUGUCUCUGAAGAGUGACAUGUCCAAAGGACUUCCUCUAGACUUCAGUAAUGAACCUGGACCCUCACACACAGAGGAGAGGAAGAGGAGUCAUGUUUCUGAGGAGGAGCAGUCGUCCUGCUGUGCUUCAUG